GAUGAACGCUGGCGGCGUGCCUAAUACAUGCAAGUCGAGCGAACAGAUGAGGAGCUUGCUCCUCUGACGUUAGCGGCUGACGGGUGAGUAACACGUGGAUAACCUACCUAUAAGACUGGGAUAACUUCGGGAAACCGGAGCUAAUACCGGAUAAUAUAUUGAACCGCAUGGAUCAAUAGUGAAAGACGGUUUUGCUGUCACUUAUAGAUGGUUCCGGGCCGGAUUAGCUAGUUGGUAAGGUAACGGCUUACCAAGGCAACGAUGCGUAGCCGACCUGAGAGGGUGAUCGGCCACACUGGAACUGAGACACGGUCCAGACUCCUACGGGAGGCAGCAGUAGGGAAUCUUCCGCAAUGGGCGAAAGCCUGACGGAGCAACGCCGCGUGAGUGAUGAAGGUCUUCGGAUCGUAAAACUCUGUUAUUAGGGAAGAACAAAUGUGUAAGUAACUAUGCACGUCUUGACGGUACCUAAUCAGAAAGCCACGGCUAACUACGUG
rnacentral:rRNA from 1 species